GGGCCUCGCCCCAGCCGCGCCCCUCCUCCACCCAGACGACGCCUGCGGUGGCGAUGCCGGCGGUGGUGCUGCCGGGCGGCGGCCAGCCGCUGACCAUGCCCACCUACUCGGCCGUCACGGCGCAGAACAUCACGUCGGUCGGCGGCUCCGUCGGGGACGGUAGGCCACACAGACCGCCCCUCGCCUUCCUUCCUGUCGCUCUGCGCUCGUUGGCUGUAUGUGCGUGCGUGCGUGCGUGCGUGCGUGCGUGCGUGCGUGCGUGCAGGCGUGCGUGUAGGCGUAUGGACAUGACAGGCCCUCACCAACAAACACGUCUGUGAAGGAGGGGUGAUCCCGGAAGAGCUGUUACACUGUCGACUGCCACGCUCGUUUUCGUCUGGUGAAGAGUGGCCAAGCUGGAUAGCAAAUGACUGAAUGGAUUGCAAAAGCCUCUAUCACUCAUAUACCAGAUGGAUGAUGCUUAUGAAUGACAAGGAUGGAUGUGUUAUUUGUGAUAUGUGAAAACAGACUGCCCUUUGAUUUUAAUUCCCAGGGUGUUGUGGAUGCUCCUCGCUCCGGCUCCUGCCUACCAUUUCCAUCUCUGUCAGGCUCGGAUCGUUUCCCCGUCAAACCUAUUCGCAGCGAUCAUGCAGCCGUAGCCAGAAUAACUAGUGGUUAAUAAGACGAUUGUUACAUUAAUAAUCGAUACUGAAAUAUGUAUUCACGAAUUUGGGUGUUUACAAUAUUUGUAGUGCCUUCCGUGACAUACCAAGUACAAAUCCAAAAACAUGGGGCCUGUUUCAAAGUGUGGUAUGGUCCCGCGUAAAUGAAAGUGACCAUCGGCUGUUAUAGGUAAGAAUAACCUUGUAGGGUGAACUAAUCCGGCCAUCCAAACCCAACGCCAGUUAUGUAUUAAUGUCAGGGAUAUGUACAUUGAGUAUAUUUAGGGCUUGGAAUGGUAGAGAUCUUGGUAAUAAAUAUAGGAUGUGA